AAAUUUUCAGUCACAGUUCUGGGUUUGAGAGCAGAUAACCCCCCUUGAGUAUGAUGGUUAGCAAAAUGCAGAAGGCAAUGUAAUAACUACCUCUUGACAUGCAACAUCAAAUGAAAUGCUUGAGAUUCAGGAAAUGCAAGGUCGACAAAAGAAAGGUUCAAUGUCAGUAUAGCAAGUUGUAUCUACUGUCUUUAGUAAGAACCAUUUGUCUUUUGCAGAUAUUGAUUGAUGCCACUAAGAAACACCAAACAAAAUAGAACCAAAGUAAACCAGUAAAGAAACAUAAAAGAAAUGUAUGAUUACAGCUCCAUGAUUGAAUUUCCAAGCAUCCCAUGACUCGAUUAAUAAAUCAAACUCCUAACACUGUAAUAGGACGGACCCACAAUGGUUACUAAAAAGAAAAUGCAGUGAGAAGAGAAUCCUCGACUUACUACAUUCAUGAUCGAGGUAAUCUAGGGUUUCUACCGCUUGGAGUCUGUAUCUCGGUUAACCUGUCUACGUUGA
rnacentral:lncRNA from 1 species